UACGUAGGUGGCAAGCGUUGUCCGGAAUUAUUGGGCGUAAAGCGCUCGUAGGCGGUGUGUCACGUCUGCCGUGAAAACCUGCGGCUUAACCCCGGGUGUGCAGUGGGUACGGGCAGACUAGAGUGCAGUAGGGGAGACCGGAAUUCCUGGUGUAGCGGUGAAAUGCGCAGAUAUCAGGAGGAACACCGAUGGCGAAGGCAGGUCUCUGGGCUGUUACUGACGCUGAGAAGCGAAAGCAUGGGGAGCGAACAGG
rnacentral:misc_RNA from 1 species